GCCAGCAUGACGUAGCGGUUUGAGUGUUGGACUGCAACUCUGGAGACCUGGGUUCAAUUCCCAGCUUGGUCA